rnacentral:misc_RNA from 1 species
AAAGUCGUAACAAGGUUUCCGUAGGUGAACCUGCGGAAGGAUCAUUAUUGAAUUAUGUUUUCUAGAUGGGUUGUAGCUGGCUCUUCGGAGUAUGUGCACGCCUGUCUGGACUUCAUUUUCAUCCACCUGUGCACCUUUUGUAGUCUUUUUCAGGUAUUGGAGGAAGUGGUCAGCCUAUCAGCUCUUUGCUGGAUGUAAGGACUUGCAGUGUGAAAACAGUGCUGUCCUUUACCUUGGCCAUGGAAUCUUUUUCCUGUUAGAGUCUAUGUUAUUCAUUAUACUCUUAGAAUGUCAUUGAAUGUCUUUACAUGGGCUAUGCCUAUGAAAAUUAUUAUACAACUUUCAGCAACGGAUCUCUUGGCUCUCGCAUCGAUGAAGAACGCAGCGAAAUGCGAUAAGUAAUGUGAAUUGCAGAAUUCAGUGAAUCAUCGAAUCUUUGAACGCAUCUUGCGCUCCUUGGUAUUCCGAGGAGCAUGCCUGUUUGAGUGUCAUUAUAUUCUCAACUCUCCAAUACUUUGUUGUAAAGGAGAGCUUGGAUUGUGGAGGUUUGCUGGCUCCUUACUUGGGGUCAGCUCCUCUGAAAUGCAUUAGCGGAAUCGUCUGCGAUCUGCCACAAGUGUGAUAACUUAUCUACACUGGCGAGGGGAUUGCUUUCUGAUGUUCAGCUUCUAAUCGUCUAAGGACAAUUUCUUGAAUGCUUGACCUCAAAUCAGGUAGGACUACCCGCUGAACUUAAGCAUAUCAAUAA